ACGAAAAUAAUUUUAUGGUUGGGUCACAACAUGAGGAACUGUAUUUAAAGGGCCAGAAGGUUGAGAACUACUGUCUGAAGUUUUGUAUGUGCAAUCCUUUGGCAGGUUCCUAGGAGCAAGAAGUGAUGUCUACAUUCUGAGUGUGUAUACCAGGACGGAAACACUUCAAUGUAAACUCCUGAAAGGUGUUUGGGUCCCACCUCGUGUUAAGGGAACUGCCAUUUAGUGUUUAAACAAGGUCAGAGCAGUGGCUGGAAGUGAACACCUGGCAUUUGGAGGAAGGCUGCAUGUGUGGAAAAUGCUCAAACUUUAUCCUUCACCUUUAAAAAAGUAUAAGCUGUGCACACUUUCCUUUUUACAGCCCUUCCCUUGGUUUGAUGAUAGCCUUGCUUCCCAAUAGUCUUCUGGUUGAAGUGUUUUUUUCAUGAGUUAAUAUUUAAUUUGAUUUCUUUCGUUUCGUUUUUAAGUGAAGUUGGUUGACAUAGGAACCUGGAAGGAAACACUUGGGCACCUUUGCAUUACUGUCUCUUGGUCUUCAUUUCUCUUCUUGCAGAAUCUCAUAAAAGCCCUAGGAAAUAUUUGGAAGAAGCUUAAGCACUUGCUCAGAGCUACCCUCCUCUGCCCCACACUACUCUUCGAAGAAAGGAUCUGCUGCGAGACAGAGUGUCAACUGCUGUGAGGACCAGGGUGGGAUUCGCUUGGCACCAUCUGCAAACAGAGAGGCUUAGAUUUCAAGCUUCCUUGAGUGCUUGAAAUCGGGUACAUGGCUGCUUCCUUUAUCAUUGGAUUGUUGUCCUAAAUGCCAGCAAGAGAAAUAGAGGUAACACCAAAAUGUUCUGACUUCUUCCCAUUACUGCCAAGAGGUUCUUCUGCACCUACCUGGCUCAUUCUUGCUCAGGGCCUUUGAACCAGCUCCUCCUUAGCCUGGAGUGCUGUUCUUCCAUGGACCACCCCCCACCCCCCCAAUUAUCCUCUUAACGUUCCCUCAGAGAGACCUCUUGACUGCUUGCUCUAAAUCAGUCACAUCAGCCCUGGUCUUAUUUGACUGACUUCUCUAGGUGACAUUUACCACAAUCUUCUUGUUUAUCUGCUGGUUUGUUCCAUGUGAGAAGGUGAGCCUGUGAGGGAAGGGAAUGUGCCUUCCUCUCCUGCUGCACCUCCAAACAGGGUCUGUCGUGUAGUAAGGAGAUGUCCAUGGGAUGAACGGCCAAGUUGCUUUUCUCCUCCUGA